AUGGUGACCCGUUCCUCCUUAUACGCGGAUGAUGAUGCGGUCUUUCUUGCGCCAAUAUCUGAACUCAAAUUCUUCGCGGAAAUCCUUUCAUGUUUCGGUGAGGUCACUGGCCUGACCACGAACUGCUCUAAAAGCAUGGUUGCCCCCAUCCGAUGUGAGCACUUGGACCUUGAUGAUAUUCUACAUUCCUUCCUGGUCAACUGAUCUUCCUUCCCGAUGAAGUACCUCGGAUUGCCUUUGUUGGUCAAGAGGUUGAAUACAAUCCACUUCCAGCCCCUGGAGGACAAGAUUGCAUCAAAGCUUUCUCCAUGGUUGGGCAUGCUAAUGGCAUCUCCGGGAAAGGCUGUUUUG
rnacentral:rRNA from 1 species